GGUAAUGCGCACCAGAAGUUUGCUUGCCAACCGCCAUUAAACAAAAGAAGAAGAAGAAGAAAGUUACAACACAACUACGUCACUACCAAAACGGAAGUGGCGCCACACUGCACAUGCUGGGAAUCUUCAGACUGUAAUAAUGUGGUGGGUGUGAACCUUCAAGCUUGACAUCACUGACAUUGUGCUUGACAACGGUAGCCUGGCAACUGCAAUAAGGUCAAGUCUGAGCAGAAGGGAUGUUUCGGCUGAGGGGUGUGAGUUCCCGAUUCCAAAGACUCAUUCACAUGGGCUCUGUGAACCGAGACCAGGUUCUGCAGCAAUUGCAGGUCUGUUCUGCAGAAGAGCACGUGUUUGAUGUUGUGGGUAAGAACAAGGCCGAGCUCACAGCGGACCAUGUAGGCAUGGCUGUGAAUACACUGUGGCGCUUCCAGAGGGACAAACCAAUCUUUCUAAGAACAGUUGAGUUAAUCAAGAAUCACCCGCAGUUCCUUACGCUGCAAGUUCUGGCAGAGAAAAAAAUUGCGCUCAUGGAUGAUAUUAUGUUGGUAGACUUGCUGUACAGUUUCCUCAGGCUGAAUUUUGACUUUCAUGACCCUCUGAUUCAGCAGCUGGUUUCAGAGGCUUGGCGAAGAUUAGACAAACUUCCCAUGACAUCCCUAUCCAAAUUUACAGUCUGUCUGCAUGAUAUGGACCUGGCCCACAGUCCUCUUAUAGGCCGCAUCACCAAUAUUGUGGAUCAGAAUUUGUCAUCCAUUGAUGAUGGCAGGAUCCUCUCUACGUUUCUAACUACUGUGACAUCCCUGGGGUCCCCUCGUUUUCGAGAUGCCCUCCUUAGCAAGGUGGACCACCUCCUGGACAAAAAGGAUCGGUCCCAAGCCAGCAACGCUCGCAGAGUGAUGCAGUUCCUGCACAACAUCAAGUACAACCACAGGCCAUUGCUGGAGAAGUGCAAGCGGAUUCUCCUAUGCCACAUUCCCACCAUGGACGUGGACCAGAUCUCGAUGUUAAUGGGGCUGUUUCGGUCGCUGCGGUUACACCACAUUGACUUCAAGCUGGCUGUGAAACAACGGCUGACAGAAAAGAUUGAUUCAAGCGUCGACCCGGCUACAUUUGCUAGACUGUUUAUCUCUCUGGCACCUCUUGCCAGUCCAGAGACGAGAGGCCGAUUGGAAGGCACGGCCUACAUAUUGGCUGAUGACUUUGACGCACUGCAGGUGGUGGAUAUUGUUGAAACACUGCAAGAGAUUCAGAGCAGGAACUUUACCUUGAUAAACAAACUUGCAUCAGUGAUCCAAAGGAACCUUGACACUUACAGGCCAGUGAAAGUCUGUAGAAUCACACGGGCACUUCUUAUGUUGCAUUAUAAGAAUCCAAAACUCUUCACCAAACUAAGAAAUCUUUUGUUAGGAUUUUUAGAGCGCAGCUUCCUCCCCGGUGAAGUGACCAUGUUGAACCAUUGUCUGUCCCUGUUACCUUGUCGGCGACUUCAGGAGGGUGUGAUCUCCCGGCUCAACGCAGUGGUGCCCCAAUGCCGUUUCAGAGACCUCAUAAGCAUUGCCUUGGCUCUGGAGGAGUGGAUGCGUAAAGACCCGUUGUACCACCACAGCACCAGCAGCGAGUACGUGCUUCUGCUGCAGGCACUUACCAGCUGCAGUCUCCAGAGGCUGCAGAGGGCAGACCGACUCAACUUGCUUCUUGAGGAGCUCAAGUAUGUUUCGGGGCAGUGGUUUAAGGAAGUGAUUCUGGAAGAGACCAUGGCCACGCUGCACAGAAUGAUAGAUCAAAUCGAUUGGAUGAACUUGCCGGCUCUGUCCCGCUUCAUAACAAAGACUAUUUGGCUCUGCCCUCCCUUGAUGGACCGUAUUGCCAGUGUGGCCAUUAAAGACAUUGAGAAGAUUCACCCCUCAGCAAUUUAUGACAUCCUGCGUCCCUUUUCGACCUUAAAGUAUGAUCCCAAAGGAGCAGAGGGGUUUUACGACGCUUGUAUAAAGCGCUUCACUCCUCAUAUCAGCUCCUUGGACUGUCAUCGACUGGUUUUGCUGGCAUCCGUCUUGGCGGUUGCAGGUUAUUUCCCUGAGGAACUUGUCAGACACAUCUUCAACAUAGAUUUCCUUGGAAAGCUGGAGGCCGAGUUGGAAUUCUUCCCUGCUAGCUCCAACAGGCGCAUCCAACAGCGUCUCAUGGAGCUCAAUCGUGCCGUGUCUCUUGAGUGUCCUGAAUUUCAGGUCCCAUGGUUUCAUCAUCGCUACUACUGGGACACGCUAAGCCCAAGGACGGCUUUUCUCAGUCCUGUCCAUCAGCAAAUCCAUACAAUGUUGGGUGAAGUGCUUGGUGGCGUUAACUGUGUCAGGGCGGCAGAGGUCACGCAUUAUUUUUACACUCUUGAGUUCGAAUUCAUUUUGGACAAGCACCUAAAGCCGCUGCCCUUCAGCAAGCCGAGUUUUGUGCAGAUCUCAGAUGAAGGCGAGAAUCUCUGGUCUCCCAGCUCAUUGGAGAAGAGCAGGAAGGAGCUUCCACCAGGGGCACAGCGUGUUUGUAUCGACUUCCUCGACUCCAAGUCUUUCUGCAAAAAUUCCCAACAUAUGACAGGCGUAGCGGUGAUUAGGAGGCGGCACCUUGAAAUUCUGGGAUAUCGUGUUGUUCAGAUCCCCCACUUCGAAUGGAACUCUAUGGAGCUUUCUACACAGGACGCUUGGAAGGAAUACCUAAGGAAGAAAAUAUUUCUUAGCGCCAGUUAGCCCUGAAGGCCUUAAUGAUUCAGCUGACAAAAUAACUAACACCAUUUAUUUUUGAUAUACCUGCAGUUUUUGUACAGUAAUGAAUGUAUUAAUACAUUUCUGUUUGUAUUAAGCCUUCAAAACCCAAGACUCUGUUUUAGACCAGUUUUUAAACAUACGUAUUGCAGCCGGUCACCCAGGAUGUGGGUUCAGACCAUGACAGUCCCUGGGAUUUGUGCAGCCCUUGGAGGCACCCGUUGUCAUUAUGUCAGGAUGCUUAGAAAAAAAAUCCAAAUACAGCUGGGAAUAAUAUUUUAAUAUUUGAAUGUGACACGUGAGGGAAUCUAGUAUAUUCCAUGACAUUACUAUAUUUAAUACAAAUGGACAGCUUUUUGGAUGCACUCCUACACUGAAAAGGAAAUAUUAAGCAGACUAAAAACACAAUAAGUGUGAUAUUGUACUGCUGCAUGCUAACUGACUCAUCAACAUGCAUUUAUCUUCAUAAAGGACAAAGUUGGGCGGGGUUCAAAGUUUUGGCAUCCUGGCCACGUUGAGGCGCAUCGCUGCACAGGACGCUCCGGCUGCGUAGCGCAUCUCCCUGAUCAUCCCCGCCCACUCUUUCUUGUCCUCUUCAUACCUGAAGGUGAUAGAGCGCAUGUUGAAAAAGUACACACGAUGACAUAUACAGUGGGGCAAAAAAGUAUUUAG